UACGGGGGGGGCAAGCGUUGUUCGGAAUUACUGGGCGUAAAGGGCUCGUAGGCGGCCAACUAAGUCAGACGUGAAAUCCCUCAGCUUAACCGGGGAACUGCCUCUGAUACUGGAUGGCUUGAGAUUGGGAGAGGGAUGCGGAAUUCCAGGUGUAGCGGUGAAAUGCGUAGAUAUCUGGAGGAACACCGGUGGCGAAGGCGGCAUCCUGGACCAACACUGACGCUGAGGAGCGAAAGCCAGGGGAGCAAACGGG
rnacentral:rRNA from 1 species